rnacentral:rRNA from 1 species
UCCACGCUGUAAACGAUGUCGAUUUGGAGGUUGUGCCCUUGAGGCGUGGCUUCCGGAGCUAACGCGUUAAAUCGACCGCCUGGGGAGUACGGCCGCAAGGUUAAAACUCAAAUGAAUUGACGGGGGCCCGCACAAGCGGUGGAGCAUGUGGUUUAAUUCGAUGCAACGCGAAGAACCUUACCUACUCUUGGCAUCCAGAGAACUUUCCAGAGAUGGAUUGGUGCCUUCGGGAACUCUGAGACAGGUGCUGCAUGGCUGUCGUCAGCUCGUGUUGUGAAAUGUUGGGUUAAGUCCCGCAACGAGCGCAACCCUUAUCCUUUGUUGCCAGCGGUUCGGCCGGGAACUCAAAGGAGACUGCCAGUGAUAAACUGGAGGAAGGUGGGGAUGACGUCAAGUCAUCAUGGCCCUUACGAGUAGGGCUACACACGUGCUACAAUGGCGUAUACAAAGAGAAGCGACCUCGCGAGAGCAAGCGGACCUCAUAAAGUACGUCGUAGUCCGGAUUGGAGUCUGCAACUCGACUCCAUGAAGUCGGAAUCGCUAGUAAUCGUAGAUCAGAAUGCUACGGUGAAUACGUUCCCGGGCCUUGUACACACCGCCCGUCACACCAUGGGAGUGGGUUGCAAAAGAAGUAGGUAGCUUAACCUUCGGGAGGGCGCUUACCACUUUGUGAUUCAUGACUGGGGUGAAGUCGUAACAAGGUAACCA